rnacentral:lncRNA from 1 species
AUUCUCUUUUUUUAUUUCUUAUUAGAAAUUAAGCAUUUAAGGGUUCUCAAGGGUUAUUCCUGCAGACAUUCUCUCCUUGCAAUCAAAUGAGCCCAAGGAUAUUAAUAAGAUGUGCGGUAAUUAUAACACGUCAGGCCAAGAGACGUUCUUCCGUGUGUAAAUAUUUUAUGGAACCAGCACUGUGAAGCGGCACCUACAGAGUGAAGUACUGCCUCAGUGAGCCCCAGGGAAUCUUAACCACUUCUCAUUAAUCAGCCUCUCUUACUUUCUGUACCUGAAAUGGUAUUUAAAGAGACCAAAAGCCAUUAAAAAAUAAAAAGAUCCCUGAAAGAUGAUAUUAACACUAUUCACGAAAAGGAAGCAUUUCAGAGGUUUCAAAUGCAACAUGCGUAAAAAUUGGAAAGCUUACCUUGAUGACCUGUUGGGGCAGAAACAAUGAGUCUAAAGAGAAAUCACAAGUUACAUCCACUCUACUAAGCCAUUAAAAAGAUACUCCAUUUUACC